UACGGAGGUCCCGAGCGUUGUUCGGAAUUACUGGGCGUAAAGGGAGCGCAGGCGGACAGGUCAGUCUGAAGUGGAAAUCCGGGGCUCAACCUCGGACUUGCUUCGGAUACUGCUUGUCUUGAGUUCGUGAGAGGAAGAUGGAAUUCAGGGUGUAGCGGUGAAAUGCUCAGAUAUCCUGAGGAACACCGGUGGCGAAAGCGGUCUUCUGGCACGAAACUGACGCUGAGGCUCGAAAGCGUGGGGAGCAAACAGGAUUAGAUACCCUGGUAGUCCACGCCGUAAACGUUGUGUGCUAGGUGUAGGAGGUAUCGACCCCUUCUGUGCCGCAGCUAACGCAUUAAGCACACCGCCUGGGGAGUACGCUCGCAAGAGUGAA
rnacentral:rRNA from 1 species